UACAGAGACUGCAAGCGUUAUUCGGAUUCACUGGGCGUAAAGGGUGCGCAGGCGGCCAAGUGUGUGAGGCGUGAAAGCCUGGAGCUUAACUCCAGAAUUGCACCUCAAACUACAUGGCUAGAGCAUUGGAGAGGGUAGCGGAAUUCACGGUGUAGCAGUGAAAUGCGUAGAUAUCGUGAGGAACACCAGAGGCGAAGGCGGCUACCUGGACAAUUGCUGACGCUCAGGCACGGAAAGCGUGGGGAGCAAAAGGG
rnacentral:rRNA from 1 species